rnacentral:rRNA from 1 species
GGGAGGACCAUCUCUUAAGGCUAGAUACUCUCUAGUGACCGAUAGUGAACCAGUACCGUGAGGGAAAGGUGAAAAGCACCCCGGAAGGGGAGUCAAAUAGAACCUGAAACCGUGUGCUUACAAGUAGUCAGAGCCCGUUAAUGGGUGAUGGCGUGCCUUUUGUAGAAUGAACCGGCGAGUUACGAUUUGAUGCAAGGUUAAGCAGUAAAUGUGGAGCCGUAGCGAAAGCGAGUCUGAAUAGGGCGUUUAGUAUUUGGUCGUAGACCCGAAACCAGGUGAUCUACCCUUGGUCAGGUUGAAGUUCAGGUAACACUGAAUGGAGGACCGAACCGACUUACGUUGAAAAGUGAGCGGAUGAACUGAGGGUAGCGGAGAAAUUCCAAUCGAACCUGGAGA